rnacentral:lncRNA from 1 species
GGAGAGGACUGGUUUUUGUGUGGAUUGUGUAAUUCAUUCAUUCAUUCAUUCAUUUUGGCCACCCCAUGGCACAUGGAGUUCCCGGGCUGGGAAUCAGAUCCGAGCUGAAGUUGUGACCUAAGCCAUGGCUGUGGCAAUGCUGGAUCCUUAACCCGCUGUGCUGGGCUGGGAAUCGAACCUGCAUUCCAGUGCUCCUAAGAUGCCCCCAAUCCGGUUGCUCCCCCAAGGGAACACCUGUGUGUUUUUUUUUGUUUGUUUGUUUGUUUUUUAUUUUUUUUUAACUGUUGAAUUGAAGAGUGAUAUACUUGCAAAAUAAAAAUGUGCUCCUAUCAGGCAUAGACACCUUGGCAGUGAGCAUGCCCACAUUAUCAUCCCUCAAGCUAUAAGCUUAUGCUUUUUGCUGAUUUUAUGGGGAACAAACAGGUCUCACUGUAACUUGACUUUGUUUCCCAAUUUCUAGUGAGGUUGAGCAUCCAAUUUCCAUUCAUAUUUACUCUUUUGUAAAUUGAUACCAACAGCUAACACUUCUCGAAGGUUUCCCAUGAGCCAGAUAUUCUUCUAGGUGCUUUGCUCGCAUCAACUCACAUAAUCCUCACAGUGGUCCUUUAUGAUAUGCUGUUAUUAUCUGCACUUUGCUGGGGAGGAAACUGAGGCAGUUACAUGGCUAGUUACUUCCCAUAGUUACAUAAUUAGUCAGUGGUGAAGCCAGAAUUUGAAUCUGGACAGUCUGGUUCAGUGUUUGGGUUCAUAAUCUCUGUGCUAUCCCUAUAUAUAUAUAUAUGAUUCAUGUUUUAGGGAUCUGUUACUGUAUAACUCAUGACUCCUAGACUUAGCUGGAAAUGGCAACCAUGUAUUAGCUCAUAAUUUCUGAGUAUCAGAGAUCGGGGAGGGGCUUAGCUAUGUUGCUCUGUGUGUCAGGAUGUCUCAUGAAGUCAAGUUGUCAGCUGUGGCUGUGGUCAUCUGAAGAUUUGACUGGGGCUGGAGAAUCUGCUUCCAUGGUGGGUCACGACAUGGCUACUGCAUCCUCAGUUCCUUGCUGCAUGGACCAUUCCAUAGAAAUCAGGAGGAAUGUUCCUGGAGUUUAGUGACAGCCCUGAAUGUUAUUGGCAGAUGCAAAGUUGAUUGUUAAACUGCUGUAUGGUAACGUGUCCAUAGACGCAUAGGACAAUUCCAGUCUCUUUGGUAACCUAUGUUUUUAUUUGCUAAAUCUAGUGACCCUGGAUGUGAGGGAAGGGGCCUGGAGGCAGGAAGGAAAACGGUGUCUGUGGGAAGAUCACAGGGGUCAGAGGCCUUAGCAUAAUGUGGGUGUGAGGAAAACAGACGUGCAUUUGCAUUUCCUGUGUGGGUACAGUGUGAGAAAAGCAUGAAGUAAAGCUUCAAAAUAGGUAGAGUCCAGUUUUUUACUUUUUCUUUUCUUUGUAGGGCCGCACUUGCAGCAUAUGGAGGUUCCCAGGCUAAAUGUCAGAUCAGAGCUGUAGCUGCCAGCCUAUGCCACAGCCACAGCCCCGUGGGAUCCAAGCAUGUCUACGACCUACACCAUAGCUCAUGGCAAUGCUAGAUCCUUAACCCACUGAAUAAGUCCAGGGAUCGAACUGAAUCCUCACAAAGACAACAUUGGAUUCUUCACCUGCUGAGCCACAAUAGGAACUCUGAGUCAAGGGAUUUUUUGUUUGUUUGUUUGUUUGUUUUGUUUUUGGUCUUUUUUAGGGCCACACAUAUGGAGGUUCCCAGGCUAAGGGUUGAAUUGGAGCUGUGGCUGCCGGCCUACACCACAGCCACAGCAACACCAGAUCUGAGCUGGUGUCUGUGACCUAUACCACAGCUCACGGCAACGCCGGAUCCUUAACCCACUGAGUGAGGCCAGGGUUCGAACCUGUGUCCUCAUGGAUGCUAGUCAGAUUUGUUUCCACUGAGCCACGAUGGGUACUCCCAUGAGUCCAUGUUUUUUAACCUCCUAUCAUAUAAUGGAAUUUGUACUCGGACCUGUUGGCACUGAGAGAAUCAAGCAGGCAAGUAAGUAACACGAACAGAUCUUUGUGUUAAAAGAUCUCCUGGGAGGCAGAGUUGG